GUAGGGAAUCUUGCGCAAUGGGCGAAAGCCUGACGCAGCCAUGCCGUGUGAAUGAUGAAGGUCUUAGGAUUGUAAAAUUCUUUCACCGGGGACGAUAAUGACGGUACCCGGAGAAGAAGCCCCGGCUAACUUCGUGCCAGCAGCCGCGGUAAUACGAAGGGGGCUAGCGUUGCUCGGAAUUACUGGGCGUAAAGGGAGCGUAGGCGGAUAGUUUAGUCAGAGGUGAAAGCCCAGGGCUCAACCUUGGAAUUGCCUUUGAUACUGGCUAUCUUGAGUAUGGAAGAGGUAUGUGGAACUCCGAGUGUAGAGGUGAAAUUCGUAGAUAUUCGGAAGAACACCAGUGGCGAAGGCGACAUACUGGUCCAUUACUGACGCUGAGGCUCGAAAGCGUGGGGAGCAAACAGGAUUAGAAACCCCAGUAGUCC
rnacentral:rRNA from 1 species